AUCAUGGCAGUGGAAACUGAAAGGCUUGAGUAUGGUAGGGGCAGAGGGAAUUUCCCGGUGUAGCGGUGAAAUGCGUAGAUAUCGGGAAGAACACCAGUGGCGAAGGCGCUCUGCUGGGCCAUUACUGACGCUCAUGGACGAAAGCCAGGGGAGCGAAAGGGAUUAGAUACCCCUGUAGUCCUGGCCGUAAACGAUGAACACUAGGUGUCGGGGGAAUCGACCCCUUCGGUGUCGUAGCUAACGCGUUAAGUGUUCCGCCUGGGGAGUACGCACGCAAGUGUGAAACUCAAAGGAAUUGACGGGGGCCCGCACAAGCGGUGGAGUAUGUGGUUUAAUUCGAUGCAACGCGAAGAACCUUACCAGGGUUUGACAUCCUGCGAACCUCUUAGAAAUUUGAGGGUGCCUUCGGGAAUGCGGUGACAGGUGGUGCAUGGCUGUCGUCAGCUCGUGUCGUGAGAUGUUGGGUUAAGUCCCGCAACGAGCGCAACCCACGUUUUUAGUUGCCAGCAUUUAGUUGGGCACUCUAGAAAGACCGCCGGUGAUAAACCGGAGGAAGGUGUGGAUGACGUCAAGUCAUCAUGCCCCUUACACCCUGGGCUACACACGUACUACAAUGCUACGGACAAAGGGCAGCAAACUCGCGAGAGCUAGCAAAUCCCAUAAACCGUGGCUCAGUUCAGAUCGUAGGCUGCAACUCGCCUACGUGAAGUAGGAAUCGCUAGUAAUCGCAGGUCAGCAUACUGCGGUGAAUACGUUCCCGGGCCUUGUACACACCGCCCGUCACACCAUGGAAGUUGGCCAUGCCCGAAGUCGUUACUCCAACCCUUGUGGAGGAGGACGCCGAAGGUGGGGCUAAUGACUGGGGUGAAGUCGUAACAAGGUAACCGUA
rnacentral:rRNA from 1 species